AUGCCUCCACCGUUGUCAUGGACUCUCGUUCUGGAGAUGGAAGCCCAGACAACCUCCUUCUUCCUUAAGUUGUCUGUGGCGAUGAAUUAUUCCACCAAAGUGGAGGCUGCAGUGAACGGCCUGGUCAGCUUGCACCUGCGGGCCUCCAACACCUACCUCACUUUGGGCUGCUAUUUUGACCGGGAUGACGUGGCCCUGGAGGGUGUAGGCCACUUCUUCUGCGAAUUGGCCGAGGAAAAGCGCGAGGGCGCUCAGCGGCUGCUCAAGAUGCAGGACAAUUGAGGGGGCCGAGCACUGUUCCAGGAUGUGCAGAAGCCAUCUCAAGAUGAGUGGGGUAAAUCCCAGGAGGCCAUGGAAGCUGCCUUGGCCCUGGAGAAGAGCCUGAACCAGGCCCUCUUGGAUCUUCAUGCCCUGGCUUCUGCUGGCACAGAUCCUCAUCUCUGUUGACUUCCUGGAAAAUCCUGGAUGAGGAGGUGAAGCU